UAAUACCGAAAGUGAUGAAGAGUUUGAAGGUAAUUAUGAAGUUGUUGGUCUAACUGAAGAUGUGGAAAAAGAUGAUAUAUCAGUUAAGGGAGAUGUAGCAGAUGUUGCUAAUGCACUAGUGGAUCAACAUCCAUCGGGAGAGCCAUUGUUUAUGCAUAUUUUGAAUCUUGAUGCCAUGCAUGGCUGUGUGUAUGGCUGUAUGGUAGGCUGAGUGAAAGGUUGUGAAUAUGGUUGUGCGCAUGGUGGGUAUGCAUAUGCUUGUGGAUGUGGUAGGUACGGAUACGGUGGGUAUGUAUAUGGCUGUGAAUAUGGUUGUUGAUCUCCAACGUAAUCGUGCACUCGUCGUGUGGAAGAUGAAAUGUGUGCGUCUCAGGCCGCCACCUUUCAACUAGUGCGUCUAUAGUUGGACCGUGAGACAUGAUCCUUCCAAUCUGAGAUAUAUGAUAGAAUCCGCUCUUUCUGAGUUGUUCUUCCACCCUAGCAUCAUAUGAGUCUAUUUGGUGUAUACGUAAGUGUCUAGUGCGCAAA